rnacentral:rRNA from 1 species
AGUGAACGCUGGCGGUAGGCCUAACACAUGCAAGUCGAACGGCAGCACAGUAAGAGCUUGCUCUUACGGGUGGCGAGUGGCGGACGGGUGAGGAAUACAUCGGAAUCUACUUUUUCGUGGGGGAUAACGUAGGGAAACUUACGCUAAUACCGCAUACGACCUACGGGUGAAAGCAGGGGAUCUUCGGACCUUGCGCGAUUGAAUGAGCCGAUGUCGGAGUAGCUAGUUGGCGGGGUAAAGGCCACCAAGGCGACGAUCCGUAGCUGGUCUGAGAGGAUGAUCAGCGACACUGGAACUGAGACACGGUCCAGACUACUACGGGAGGCAGCAGUGGGGAAUAUUGGACAAUAGGCGCGAGCCUGAUCCAGCCAUACCGCGUGGGUGAAGAAGGCCUUCGGGUUGUAAAGCCCUUUUGUUGGGAAAGAAAAGCAGCAGGUUAAUACCCCGCUGUUCUGACGGUACCGAAAGAAUAAGCACCGGCUAACUUCGUG